rnacentral:rRNA from 1 species
GUAGGUGGCAAGCGUUGUCCGGAAUUAUUGGGCGUAAAGCGCGCGCAGGGCGGUCCUUUAAGUCUGAUGUGAAAGCCCACGGCUCAACCGUGGAGGGUCAUUGGAAACGGGGGGACUUGAGUACAGAAGAGGAAAGCGGAAUUCCAAGUGUAGCGGUGAAAUGCGUAGAGAUUUGGAGGAACACCAGUGGCGAAGGCGGCUUUCCGGUCUGUAACUGACGCUGAGGCGCGAAAGCGUGGGGAGCAAACAGGAUUAGAUACCCUGGUAGUCCACGCCGUAAACGAUGAGUGCUAAGUGUUAGGGGGUUUCCGCCCCUUAGUGCUGCAGCUAACGCAUUAAGCACUCCGCCUGGGGAGUACGGCCGCAAAGGCUGA